GGCAAUCUCCUUGUUUGCUUUUCAUCUCAGCACACAAACUAUUCCUUGUUCUGUCUGACACAGGUUUCUGACAUCGGUUCACCCGCCCUGUGCCUGCCAGUUCUAGCAAGGAUACGAGUAGAGCAAUUCACGUGACCUGCCUGCAUCCAUUACUGCAACAUCUUACCAUAAAACUGACAUUUCUACUUUGCCUAAUACACAGUUCUGCCCAUUAUCCAACAUUUCAGCCGGCGCUGAUUGUCACCACAUCAAAAGAAACGGACGUGGUGGUGCAGAACACAGCUGGGCUUCCUGCUAGCCUUCCAUUGGGAAUGCAAUUGGGAAAACUGGGAGAAGGAUCCCUCAGGAGGACCAGGGACAUUGGUAGGAUGGAGUCUGUCCUUCCCUGCAGGUGGGAAGUGGUUGGAAGUGGCACGAGGAGGCUGUGCUUGCAAUCAGGUGCCCAACCAGUCUAUGCCUUUGCAAUGAGUUGCAGUGGAGCAAAAAGGCUGCUGGAGUGCUGCAGUUCCCCAUGGCAAUGGGGGUUUUGCUAAGCUGGGAAAGGAGAGAAAUCAGACGGGAUUUGUGAUGGUGUUGCCCUGUGAGAUGAGGUGAUGUGAACAGAUAUCUCAGCCCAGGGGGUCUCGUCCCCCUCCUGCUGAUUGUUAUACAACAUCACAGCACCAAGCCAACCAGCAAGAAUUAAAUAAUACAAACACAGCUAAAUUAAGGAUUUAAUGACUGUUUUGGAGGAGCAUUGAUACCAUAAAUUUUGGCAAGGCUCAGCAUUUCCAGAAUGUCUGUUAUUAUCCUCAUUUAAUAUGCAAAUUAGCCAUGGCUCACUGCGUUGAAGGUCACCCAAGGAGGUAUUUGAUGUGAAAAAAAAAAGGCUCUUGUCUUUAUGUUGUGCUCUGCCUCCUCCGGGAGGCCAGUGUUGAGUGAAGCAGCAAACAGCAUCAGUGAGAUUUUCUGUUACAUAAUAUUUACCAUUUUGAUGUCUAAAUAUGUUGCUAACAUGAGUGCAAUAAAACCUGGUUUACGUUCGCA
rnacentral:lncRNA from 1 species